GGAGGAUACAGCUUAGUGGUAAAGCGCAUAUCUAGCAUGCACAAGGUCCUGGGUUCAAUUCCCAGUACCUCUG
rfam:Camelus ferus unplaced genomic scaffold scaffold1330, whole genome shotgun sequence.